GCCAGUGUGGUAUAGUGGUUUGGACAUUGCACUAGGACUUUGGAGACCAGGGUUCAAAUCCCCACUCAGCCA